AUGAUCAACUAUCUGGGUUCUAAACCAGAAGAGACAUUUAAGCAGUGUUCCUCCACCAAUGGGACUCAUGCCAAGUUCUCAUUCCUUAAGAAUCUAUAUCACCAGCACCUCUCUGCGGAAACUGAUCUUGAGUCAGAGGGAGACGACUUCUUUGUUCUUUAUCACUGUCAGUGUGCUCUGAGGUGUUACUUUAUGUUCUUGGUUGCCACACCUAUUUUCAUGGAUAAAAGCACAAACUACGUGGAUGUAGCAUACUUCUGUUACUUCAUGGAUUUGGAUACAGUGAGGCAGUGGAACUGGGGGACCGACUGUUUGGCAUAUCAGUAUCAAAAGCUGAAUGAAGCCUCUAACUGGAGGACACAACAACUGACAGGCUCCGUUACACUACUGACGG